ACUCUUUUCUGGGGGAAGAGGCCAGGCUGGGACGGGGUCAGGUGCUGGGAGCCUUCAGCCCUCGCCCGGCUGCCCGGGCAGAAGCCCUAUGCGUCCUGGAGCAGAAGGGCGGUUUCAGGGUCGGACAGACAGGCAGGAGGACAGCCUUGGGAACCCAGGGUGGCAUGGGGAGGCCUGGGAGGGUGAAAUGGUUAAUGGCUUGUUGAAAAACAAGGAGAGUCCCUCCUCCAGGGGCCCAGCUGGCUGCAAAGUCAGGAACAGAGGCUCCAGGGGUGAUGCAAUGGGACCCACCCUGAGCACCAGAGAGGGUGAGGAGGCGGCUCCGCCCAGCAGCCACUGCACAGCCAGCGGCGGACCACUCGCCUCCAACCCCCACGCCAGACGCAGGGCAGGGACUUUGGGGCAAAGUGGGCAAAACUGGCCACCCCAGACUCGGAAAGUUGCCGCUUCUGCCUGUCCCACCCCAUGUGGCCCUGGUGGCUUUGCAGUCCACAGGGUGCCUCAUCAGCGCAGCCAACCCCCACCUCUCCACUUCCAGGACCCUUUCCAGCCCCGGGCAGAUGGCAGGCAGGGGAGGAGAGGCUGGGCCUGUGAGAGGCAGACGGGUCUUGCCGCACCUGAUCCCGGCACCUGGCACCUCCACUCUCCAUUGUCUCGGCACAGGGUACCUGCCGGGAUCACAGUGUCCCAGACACUUGCAAAGGACUCAGGGCCGUCCCAAGGGUGCACAGGCUGAUCCGAACUCGAGAUGGGUGGUGUCCCCACCUCGGGGCCUGGCACAGUCUCAGGGGCCGGGAGAGGGUGCCAUGUAUUUCUGAGCAGGACUUUGCAGGGUGGGGGCCCAGGAGGGAGGAGGGAGAGCCCCUCUCUGAGAAGGCGUGAGGGGGCCCAGGUUUUGUGACAAAGUCCUGCCCCCGACUCGAAGCCGCACGAGGACAGGAGCGGUGUCUCUCUUGUUGACCGCAGGCUCCCUGGCGCCCAGCACGGCUCCUGGCAAGAAGCCUGCGCUGAAUAAGUCACCGACCGCAGAGAGCGGGCGGGCUGAAGUCCAAGUCGGUUUUCCAAUUCCUGCAGUCCGCUGUUGGCCAGCCCCUCCACCCGCACACCCACACUCACUCACCCACACACUCACAGGCACAGGAAAACACGCAAUGGAGCACAGAGUCAUCAGAAGAUUGCCUCGAAUGGUUGUUUACAGUUACUGGAUGCCUCUCAGCCUUCCCUUGCUCGGGCUGCAGCGGGUACAUCAGGAUUUCUGGUGCAAACCAUCAAAAAGCAUGCGGGAUGCUCGAGGGGCUGCUGGACGCGAAGGGGCUGCUGGACGUGAAGUCGCCAGACGGGGCUAGGCCGGGGCCAGCUCAUGCAAGGUGGGCAAUUGCAGCCUCCUUUCCAAGGCAGGACUAUCCCAGAUUCUUUCACAUCUUAGGAACCGACGUUCGCACAACACCUGCGACUUGUGCAAAGCUCCUUUCUGUUCAUGAUCGUGUUGGAUGGGUCAUCACCAGCCCCAGAGGGAAAGCCGUCACCCUGUUCUGCAGGGGGGGGGCACAGGCCCAGAGUGGUCCCGGCUUCCAGCGGCCAAGACCUGCGCUCUUUCCCUGAGAGCCAUUCCCCUCUGACUCCCACCCCGACACACACUCUGUUCACAUCGCACUAAGUUGGAAACAACCAAAGAAAACAGUUAAGCAAACUCGCACGGCAACGCGAGCGAACACGCGGGACAAGCUGACGGCUGGCAGGUAAGGGACCUCGCUCGGUGUGGGAUGCUGUGUUUUGAAAUAUUGUGAUUUGAUUAAAGCAGAACACGAACCACAUGCUCAUCACAGGUGUGCCAAAGUGCGCGCCUGCAAGCUGGUAAGAGCCAGAAGUGCGCUGAGAGACGUAAAGAGAUUGUUAUCUACGUGGGGCUUUCUUUUCCUAUAAAGAUUAAGCUCAAAACAACCAGAAGCUGCAAAAUAAAUAAAUGUGAUCAUAAUAAGCAGAGGAGGAGGAGUCUGUCUCGGUCCCCAGAGGACCACCCAUCUUCUGGAAAGGGCUGGAGUUGCAGGGCGCAGACGGGAGGGCGGGAGCCUGGAAGUGGGGAGUCGGGGAGCUGUGGGAAGGAGGAGGCAGGCCCACCCAGGGGAGCAGCGCCCAGAGCCGCAGAGGUGCAGCUGGGAGCAUCGCCCCGGGGAGCCCCUGGGGGCCUGGGGGCCAGACGAGCAAUGUGGAUGGUGCCUCCCGGAGCUGUGCAUCCUGGUGGUUCUGGGACACCUUGCAUCUCAGAGGACCAACGCGGGACCCGCCUACAGGAGGGGGCGGCCUGCAGAGAGAGCACCGCCUUGCUCUGGGGGAUGCCAGCCUGCAGGGAGCAGGCGGGUGUGAAAGGCGCCAACCGAGGCUCCCCUGGGACCCAGGGACAGUGCACUUCACAGACAGACCACACUCAAGGCGUCUCCGCUGACUCUUUAUCUCCGCGGCCCUCCACCCUGCCCUGCUCCCCUCCUGUGCUCCCCGUCCUGGUGGCUGGCACCACCACUCACCACGGCUUCCCAGGCUGCGGGCCCUGGCCCUGCCUCCGCCUCCGGCUCUCGCUCCGCCCUGCUUUGCACCCUGUGCCGCACCCCCACUGAGACAUUCACAGUUCCUGGAAGAUGCCAAGCUGUGUUGCUGCCCUGCCUUUUCCCAUGCUCUUCCUUCCGCCCAGAAUCCGUCUCUAUCUUGUCCGGCUGCUUAUCUGUCAAGAGUCAGCUUAAGCAGCGUCACCCUCCGUGAACCCUUUCUGCUCAUCCCUUCCUCCCCACCCCGCCCACCCCCCCUGCCCUCUGUGCCCAGGCAGACAGACAGCACCACCUCACUGGUCUCCGCAGCCCCAUAUCCAGCACUGCUCCUGCACAGCCUCAGCAUCUGAUACAUAUUUUAUGAAGUAAACAAACAAACAAACAACAACAACAACAAAACGAAUGUGGCCCAGCCGGCAUGGCUCAGUGAUUGAGCAUCGACCUAUGAACCAGGAGGUCAAGGUCCGAUUCCUGGUCAGGGCGCAUGCCUGGGUUGUGGGUUCCAUCCCCAGUGUGGGACAUGCAGCAGGCAGCAGAUCAAUGAUUCUCAUCAUUGAUGGUUCUCUCUCUCCCUCUCCCUUCCUCUCUGAAUCAAUAAUCCUAUAUAAUAAAAGCCUAAUAUGCUAAGUGUCUGUUGGCAGGUCAGCCAUUCAACCAAUCAAAGUAUACUAUGCUAAUGAUAUGCUAAGGCCACUCAACUACUCACUAUGACGGGCACUGACCACUAGGGGGCAGACAGUCAACCGGUAAGUUAGCUUGCUGCUGGGGUCUGGCCCAUUGGGACUGAGUGAGAUGGGCUGGACGCACCCUGGAGCCCUCUGUGGUCCCUCCCGUGGUCUCUCCCCAGCUGGCCAACCUCCUGUGUCCCUCCCCUGCCCCAGUUGUGCACCGGCGGGGUCCCUUGGCCUGGCCUGUGCCCGCUCACAAUCCGGG